GACAGAGUGGCCGAGUGGUUAAGGCGUUUGACUCGAAAUCAGAUGGGGUUUCCCGCGUAGGUUCAAAUCCUGCCUCUGUCG
rnacentral:tRNA from 1 species